rnacentral:rRNA from 1 species
CCAAUAGCGUAUAUUAAAGUUGUUGCAGUUAAAAAGCUCGUAGUUGAAUUUUGGGUCUGGCCGGGCGGUCCGCCCUCCGGGUGAGCACUGUUCCGACGCCGGGCCUAUCCUUCUGGAGAGUCGGCAUGUCCUUUAUUGGGUGUGCCGGGGAACCAGGACCAUUACCUUGAAAAAAUUAGAGUGUUCAAAGCAGGCGUAUGCUCGGAUACAUUAGCAUGGAAUAAUGAAAUAGGACGCGUGGUGCUAUUUUGUUGGUUUCUAGAACCGCCGUAAUGAUUAAUAGGGAUAGUUGGGGGCAUUAGUAUUCAAUUGUCAGAGGUGAAAUUCUUGGAUUUAUUGAAGACUAACUUCUGCGAAAGCAUUUGCCAAGGAUGUUUUCAUUAAUCAAGAACGAAAGUUAGGGGAUCGAAGACGAUCAGAUACCGUCGUAGUCUUAACCAUAAACUAUGCCGACUAGGAAUCGGGCGAUGUUAUUCUCAUGACUCGCCCGGCGCCUUAUG